rnacentral:misc_RNA from 1 species
UGGCUCUGGCAUCGAUGAAGAACGCAGCGAAAUGCGAUAAGUAAUGUGAAUUGCAGAAUUCAGUGAAUCAUCGAAUCUUUGAACGCACAUUGCGCCCGCCAGCAUUCUGGCGGGCAUGCCUGUCCGAGCGUCAUUUCAACCCUCAGGGAACCCCUUCGCGGGGGGGACCUGGUGUUGGGGUCCGGCCGCCUCAGCGCGCGCCGCCCCCGAAAUGCAGUGGCGACCUCGCCGCAGCCUCCCCUGCGUAGUAGCACAACCUCGCACCGGAGCGCGGAGACGGUCACGCCGUAAAACGCCCAACUUUUCAAGAGUUGACCUCGGAUCAGGUAGGAAUACCCGCUGA